GCUCCAAUGGCGCAGUUGGUUAGCGCGUGGUACUUAUAGGACUGAGAAAUGCCGAGGUCAGGAGUUCGAUCCUCCCAUGGAGCA
rfam:Nippostrongylus brasiliensis genome assembly, scaffold: NBR_scaffold0008813